rnacentral:rRNA from 1 species
UACGUAGGUGGCAAGCGUUGUCCGGAUUUACUGGGCGUAAAGAGCGCGCAGGCGGUCGGAUAAGUCGAAUGUGAAAGCCCCCGGCUCAACUGGGGAGGGUCAUUCGAUACUGUUCGACUCGAAGGCAGGAGAGGGAAGUGGAAUUCCCGGUGUAGUGGUGAAAUGCGUAGAUAUCGGGAGGAACACCAGUGGCGAAGGCGACUUCCUGGCCUGUUCUUGACGCUGAGGCGCG